ensembl:lncRNA
GGUACAGAGUCAAUGUGGAGGCUAUAUACAGGGGGUACCGGUACAGAGUCAAUGUGGAGGCUAUAUACAGGGUAUUACGGUACAGAGUCAAUGUGGAGGCUAUAUACAGGGGGUACCGGUACAGAGUCAAUGUGGAGGCUAUAUACAGGGGGUACCAGUACAGAGUCAAUGUGGAGGCUAUAUACAGGGGGUACCAGUACAGAGUUAAUGUGGAGGCUAUAUACAGGGGGUACCAGUACAGAGUCAAUGUGGAGGCUAUAUACAGGGGGGUACCAGUACAGAGUCAAUGUGGAGGCUAUAUACAGGGGGUACCAGUACAGAGUCAAUGUGGAGGCUAUAUACAGG